UGAAUGGCUCAGUGAGGCGUUCGGACUGGCUCGGGGAGGUUGGCAACGACCACCCCAAGCCGGAAAGUUCGUCAAACUCGGUCAUUUAGAGGAAGUAAAAGUCGUAACAAGGUCUCCGUAGGUGAACCUGCGGAGGGAUCAUUACACAAUAAAAUAUGAAGGCUGUACGCGGCUGUGCUCUCGGGCCAGUUUUGCGGAGGCUGAAUUAUUUAUUACCCUUGUCUUUUGCGCACUUGUUGUUUCCUGGGCGGGUUCGCCCGCCACCAGGACCACAUCAUAAACCUUUUUUAUGCAGUUGCAAUCAGCGUCAGUAUAACAAAUGUAAAUCAUUUACAACUUUCAACAACGGAUCUCUUGGUUCUGGCAUCGAUGAAGAACGCAGCGAAAUGCGAUACGUAGUGUGAAUUGCAGAAUUCAGUGAAUCAUCGAAUCUUUGAACGCACAUUGCGCCCUUUGGUAUUCCAAAGGGCAUGCCUGUUCGAGCGUCAUUUGUACCCUCAAGCUUUGCUUGGUGUUGGGCGUUUUUUGUCUUUGGUUGCCAAAGACUCGCCUUAAAAGGAUUGGCAGCCGGCCUACUGGUUUCGCAGCGCAGCACAUUUUUGCGCUUGCAAUCAGCAAAAGAGGACGGCAAUCCAUCAAGACUCCUUCUCACGUUUGACCUCGGAUCAGGUAGGGAUACCCGCUGAAAAAAAAG
rnacentral:sRNA from 1 species